AGGUGGUACUGUCACACGCCGGACUAUGGAUAUACCUCUCUCUCGAUCCCGAUCUUAGUUAGGUUACGGAAUAGGCUCCUUAUCGUGCAGGCCGAGAAGAUAGAGAAGAAUAAAAGGGAAGUUGUUAUUUCUGUAUUUCAAUUAUAUGACUGUUUUGAUUUCUUCCUAAUUGUAUUUUGUCUCUUUAAGCACUUUUUGUUUAAGCUCAUGCAAAAUGAAGAAGGUGAUGGAUUUCGUUUGUGUGUGGACUCCCAUAAAAGAAAGAAGAACAUGCUGCAAUAAAUGAAAGGAGUUGUAACGUCAAAAACUGAAAUGAAAGCAACUAAAGCUGUGAUGCAAAUCGAUAGUGGAGCUAAAUGACAAUGAGGGGUAAAUUACUCUGACAAAAGCGUACAAAGAUUUCCUAGGUUGUUGUAAUAUUAUGGAAAAUUUCCAGAGAAUUUUUUUAAGUGAUAUUUUUUUCGUGUAGAAAUUAUUAGCAGCUUAUGUACUGUUUGAAGAAAGAAUUAUUUCAUUUCAACAUGUUUUUUAAAGACAUUUCUAACUUUUGAAAAUUUCCCAGGAAUUUUUAUAAAUUAGUCCGAAAAUAUGAGUUUUAUGACUGUAAUGUUUGUUGAAUUUUUGGUGAUUUUCACCAAAAGUACGAUAACUUGGAGUAAUUUACCCCGCGUUGAUGAAUACGUUUGGACCAUCUAAGCAAUGGAGUUAAAGAAAAAUAUGUUGUGAACAUCUCAGCAGUUGGACUAAAUGACUAUUUCAAUGAAAUGUUGAUGUUAUUGGGGAAGAAACUGGGCAAAGUCUUAAGAGAUUAUGGACUAUAGAUGAAAAACAGAAUUGAUAUUGCUUUUGAGAUGACUCAUCGUCAAAGAUUGUAAGCAGUGGAGUUCAAUGUAAUGAACAUUGGUGCGCUACAAAUGCAAAAGAAGUGUGUUAGAAAGAAGUAAAGUCAAUGGACUCUGGCUGCAAAUGGAGUAAUUGGGAAAAAAUUGCACGUUAUGUCAGCAGAUAAUGGACAACAAACAUGAUAUUGCUUUUGAGAUGACUCAUCGUCAAAGAUCGUAAGCAGUGGAGUUCAAUGUAAUGAACAUUGGUGCGCUACAAAUGCAAAAGAAGUGUGUUAGAAAGAAGUAAAAAUCAAUGGACUCUGGCUGCAAAUGGAGUAAUUGGGAAAAAAUUGCACGUUGUGUCAGCAGAUAAUGGACAACAAACAUGAUGCCGAUACAAGUGAAAUUGAAGUGAAACGAUGAUAAUAAUUGCUGUUAAUGGUAAAUUGUUCAAGGAAAACCAGCCCAGAAUGAUGUUCAGUGAAUAUUGCUCGUGGUAAUAGAUAUAGUUUGGCUCCACUAUAAGUAUAAUUGUCAAUCUAAAUAAAGUUGGAAGUUCCCCUUCCUUCCUACUUUAUUUAGAUGAAGUUUAAGUUAAAUGCUUUGUCUGUCAAAAUUGCCCCACACAAUUUUGAUAGAUAAAUGCAAUAAAAUAAUAUUGUAAAUUGUCUUUUUGUCAAUAGUUUAAAGUAAUUAUUAUACUCCUGUAAUGAUCAUAAUGAAUUGAUAGACUGUAGAUAAACACCGGAAUAAGAAUUGAAGUAAUAUGAAUAAUUUAAAUGAUUUACUGAAUAAUUUGUAUAAUUUGAUGAA